GUUAUUGCGGCUUUGAAGCGAAGUUUUCGCGGGAUUCGGGAGUCUGCGGCUCGAGUACGUGGGCCAUUCUUUGCGUGGUGUAGUGAGUGUACCCGUGAGACUUGAAGGCCCGGCACGCUCGUUCCGAGUGAAGCGUCCCGGGUGAGAGAGAGACUCGCCGCACCCGCUGUGCCUGGUGUCGGUUGUGCUUGGCUGGGGGCGCAGCGGCGUACCUGCUACAGCACGCGGUUCUUGUUUUUAUUUGAUAGUUCAGGGGUAUGGAACAAAAGGAUGGUAACUUAUGGAUUGGAAAAGGUUGCGGGGAGACGUGCUCCUAUCACUGCUAACUAGCGACAAGUUUGCGCUAAAUAUGCACGUCAGACAAACGACGGUCAACAAGUGAGUGAAUCACGCUGCUGGGUGUCCGUCGAGUGCAUGUUACCUGCCAAAACAGACCUUAUCGAUCUCAGUGUACACGAGAGUCAACUCUUCAAUCCAUUUCACCCCAUAAUUCUCUAAGAAAUAGUACCGAGGAUAUACAGGAAACGAUAUUUCAGAACGGUUGGUACGAACGCGAAUCAAGAGACCCCAACAGACCAAGGAGAUAGCACGUGUCCAUGGGAGCGCGUCGCGCGCUGAGUAACCCCUGAUCAAGUUCGUAACGGAACGCGAACGCGUAUUCCAAGACCGACGGGAGCUCGUCUCUUUCGAUGGGAAUUCAGACACGAGCAGUCGUGUGCCAGUGCAAGGGCACGCAAGGCGUAGCAAACCGCUGCUGGUAAGGAAGAGACAAGCGAGCAUGCCGAGAGCAUCUACACUUGCGGCGACUCAGUGGUACGGUGAAGCUGGAAUCGCUGUGCAGACUGGAUCCUUCAAUACCUCAUCCUCAGUCGAGGAAUUCAUCGUUGCUCGUCGGACCCGUACUCUCUUGUACUGGCCGUAGAUGACGCCAGGCUCCAUCACUUACAAUCAGUCAAGGAGUAUGUAGCUGACAUUGGCGUUGAGCUAUUCGUCGUACAAGCCUAUGCUCGCUGAUUCGAUGUACUCGAAGGUCUUAUCUCGUAUCUCGAACGCCGAGUUUACACUCAAUGAUGAAUAGACGAGUGAGUCGCACCCUUGGCGCCUUGGUUUGAAAUGCAUUGCGCCGCCUUCAUCAACUCUGAGCUGCGGUUUUGAUUUUCUGCUCGUACGCAAUGCGGACUCGAGACACGCGUUUCGGUUCGUGGGCGUGCGCACGACGGAGCGGAAGACGAAAAGAUAUUAGAGGAGUCGGAGGUACAUGCACGGAAAAGGUUAGUUCGGGUCUGGUCGUCCACCCAGCGCCUCUUCGUCCCAGGAAGAUAACGGAAACGACGACAGGGGACCACAUCCAUGCCACACCGUCAUGUCUAUAACAAGGCGAAGAGGAAGGACGAGGAGGAGUCAUCGGACAAUGAGGAGAAAGAUUCUCCCGGAAACAGGGCGACGCGCGACGUGAAGGUAAACUGUCGGAGCGGAAAGAUCGUUCUCAAAACCAUAUUCAAGGCCUGCCUGCCAGAGGACAUCAGUAGGGCCAGCAUUCCGGAAAAGUGAGUUGCUGGACGCCACGAGCGAUCGUGGCCCCUAGUAGUCGAGAAUGGUCUGCUGAGCGUCGCUCACCUGGACGCAACCCGAGAUGAAACAGUUCGUACGGACUCUGGACGAAAGGCUGCCGGUUUUUCACAUUCAUCUGCAAUUUCUCGAUCGAAUCUUCGUGCGCAAACACAACUGAUGCUCGGUACACAGCAUGCGAUUCGGCCUGAUCGUAGGAUCAGAGCAUGAAACACACGCUCCCCAGAGUACCAUGACCUGUCGUCGCGCCAUAUCGGCAAUGGGAAUGUAUAUCUACAGGGCGGUUGCCAAAAAGUAUCAAUCCGAAACCAAACCCGAAUACUAUGUGCUGAUCUUCGCCGAAUGGAUCAUGAAGCGUACCCUGUUGGCUUUGAAGACGCCUCACGCUCACCUGACUGGUCUGGAUGAGCGCGACUGAUGUAUGAGAGCGUACGCGUCUGGUAGUACGUCAGCGUCUGAAUAGGUUAUGCGCAUGGUGUUCACAGGGGGAACGUCGGACAGCGCUGGGGCCCUCCAACGUCUCCAGUUGCACGAAAGCGACAAGCGUGCAUACGUGAACUUCAAUGCGUUGGACCAGGAAACGAUCGAUAGCUCGGUUUGCUAAUUGGUUGCCCAGGGCGCUGGACGUGCUGCGGCGUCCAGAGACUGUUCGCAUGCUCCGUUGACAAGAGCGUCCAGCGCGUGCAGGAAGCGAUGGUGUACGUUUCCCAUCAAUGACUCUAGGACGGCAUGUAGUAUCACGAGCACGUCUGCACUCGGCGACUGGUUGACGGGAACAGCUUGAGAUCCAGCCGGAUGCACCAAAUGGUGUACACGAAGCUGUACGGACAUCAGACGGCAACGGAAUUGAAACCGAGAGGCUUGCGCUAGUCUGCUGUCACCAGCAAUCACGCACAUAAGAACGCUCUGGACCAAGCGAUGAACCGCUUGAUCAAAACCAGGAAAUGUGUCCUGCUUGCGGAACUUACAGUGAGUUUGUGGCGAACGAACGUUCAAGGGAAUCGUGUUGUCCUGGAGACAGGUAUUGUGCUGGAGCGCUCCAGAAAUGCAACGCAAAAACUGUAAUAACAGGGAGAGCGGGCACUGCAUUCCCGCCUGGAACAAGCCACUGAUGGAGUCUGUUGCAGCAGUACAGUGAGCUUGAAGAGCUGUAGAUACACACACACUGGAAACCGUUCUUUCUUUCGAACGGAUAAAUGAUCAU
rnacentral:misc_RNA from 1 species